rnacentral:lncRNA from 1 species
CCCGGACGGAAAUCGAGAUGUCCAAUAACGCCCUGGAAGCUUCAUGUGCGCAGUACAGAGCUCGGAUUGAGACGCUAGUCGCUAGAGCCCAGCCUCGUAACUAUGAAGUGAUGGAGAAGAAACUCUCCAGAAAGAACAAUGAAGUUCGGAGACUACGUGCCGAGCUGGAAAGUAAAAACGCCGAUAUCCACAACAUGAAGACCUUCAUCGAGUCCCAUAAAAUUUACUAUGAGAAAC